AUGUUAUAAUUUAUGUACUCCGUAUUAUUGUUUUUCAGUUUAAUUAUUCUUAUGUAAUUGUCAACUGUCAAGCAACAAGAAAAGUAAUGUGACAUCAUUAGUCGAGACAAGAGUGGAGAACAUGCGCUCAAUAAAUGAUCACAUGAAGCCAACAUGUACAGUAAAGUAAUGAUGAUGUAUUAAAAAAAGAGAAAUUGUUG
rnacentral:lncRNA from 1 species